GACGAACGCUGGCGGCGUGCCUAACACAUGCAAGUCGAACGAAGUGGCGCACGGGUGAGUAAUACGUGAGUAACCUGCCCUCCUUUUUGGGAUAAGCCUUGGAAACGGGGUCUAAUACCCAAUAAAGGGGGAUGGGCUCGCGGCCUAUCAGCUGGUUGGUGGGGUGAUGGCCUACCAAGGCGGUGACGGGUAGCCGGCCUGUGAGGGUGACCGGCGACAUUGGGACUGGGAUACGGCCCAGAGUGCUGCGGGAGGCGGCAGUGGGGGAUAUUGCACAAUAGGCGGAAGCCUGAUGCAGCGGUGCCGCGUGUGGGAUGUAGGCUUGCAGGUUGUAAACCUCGUUCGCUAUCGAGCGGGUAGGUGGAGAAGAAGCGCCGGCUAACUACGUGCCAGCAGCCGCGGUAAUUC
rnacentral:rRNA from 1 species